rnacentral:piRNA from 1 species
UCUGUCUGAGAGCUUUGGUGGCCAAGAGU